rnacentral:rRNA from 1 species
UCGGGUUGUAAAGCACUUUUGUCCGGAAAGAAAACCUCGUGGUUAAUACCCGUGGGGGAUGACGGUACCGGAAGAAUAAGCACCGGCUAACUACGUGCCAGCAGCCGCGGUAAUACGUAGGGUGCAAGCGUUAAUCGGAAUUACUGGGCGUAAAGCGUGCGCAGGCGGUUCGCUAAGACAGAUGUGAAAUCCCCGGGCUUAACCUGGGAACUGCAUUGGGUGACUGGCGGGCUAGAGUAUGGCAGAGGGGGGGUAGAAUUCCACGCGUAGCAGUGAAAUGCGUAGAGAUGCGGAGGAAUACCGAUGGCGAAGGCAGCCCCUGGGCCAAUACUGACGCUCAUGCACGAAAGCGUGGGGAGCAAACAGGAUUAGAUACCCUGGUAGUCCACGCCCUAAACGAUGUCAACUAGUUGUUGGGGAUUCAUUUCCUUAGUAACGUAGCUAACGCGUGAAGUUGACCGCCUGGGGAGUACGGUCGCAAGAUUAAAACUCAAAGGAAUUGACGGGGACCCGCACAAGCGGUGGAUGAUGUGGAUUAAUUCGAUGCAACGCGAAAAACCUUACCUACCCUUGACAUGGACGGAAUCUUGCUG